UUCCCAAAAACUUUUCAUAACAGUAAUAAUACUACUUUCAGUUAAAAUAAGGUUUUAGGUGGAAUGAAGCCAUUGUGGACUUACUGUCUCGCUAGUUGGCCAUCACAACCCCAGUAGUUGGAAAGACAUGUCAUGUCAAAUAGGUAGGAUACUGGUUUUGUUUUCCUGUUAAACAUCUUGUGGCUGAGAGGUAACAGGGAGACAAAUAGAUACUUGAAUGGUCUAAUAAUCCUUGCAGUGGCUGAAAUAUAUCACUCAAAUGGACAGAUGCAUGCAGAAAGCUCCUGUUCACCAUGCUCUGUCAUUAAAGGAGAUGGGUGCUGUGCCAGGAGGCGCGUUCAGAGCCUUCUGAGAACCAGUGUACAGGAUGUCAAUAUCUGAAAGCACAAUAAGAGGCAGAUUACAACACACACAAGCACAUUGUAGCAGCUGACAGAAUGUAAUCGCUUGUUAUUCAUUGUUUUAAUUCUUUUUAUUUUAUUUGUUGUGCCAAAAUAAUACAUAUAAAAAAUGGACUUUAUGACCUUUCCAAAAAUCAAGGAAAAAAUGAUUGAACAAAAUGAAUACUUAAAAAUAAAUAAAUAAAUACUAUCCCUUUAGUGAUUCAAAUGAAUGGCUGAUAGUACUGAUACAUUUAGAAACUGAUAUACCUGUAAUUGUAAAUAUUUUAGCGAACAGUAUAAUUGGAUUUAUUAUCUGGAGACGACAUAAUAUUUGUAUUGGUGUAAAUUGAAGAUAAUGAUCAUUGUCUUACUUUGCUUGUCCAUAAAAAUUGGGGCUGCACCAAGAGAUGCAACUGUGUCAACCAGGAAGAGGCAGUUAUGUCUGGGGGAGAUAGGACAGUAAGCAGGGGGAAAUAUUAUAUGUUAUUUGGUAAUUUUAUAAAAUAACCAAAUAACAUAUAAUAGUAAUUUUAAUGACAUUAGCAAAUAAGGAAGAUAACUUAGGAGGCUUACUUUCUGCAGAUGUCUCCAAUGCCGUCUACUGGGUGACAGAGGCCAGCGGAAGACUCUCCAUGUGUGAGGAAAAACAGGACAGGCUUGUGUUUUUCUAUGGCCUACAGAAAGAUGUAGAAGUGGCCAAUUAUCGGCCUGCCCUGUGCGGCUAAGAUACGUGGAGGAACGUUUGAGGGUCCCGGUCCAAACAAAUAACGCAGUGGAACCUCCAGCGGCCGGAGCAUGCAUGCCGGCGGUGGGAUGGAGACCGUAGACAUGGAGCGGUCCAGUCUGUGCAGCAGAGGCGCGCUCCUGGCGGCCAGCUGACUGUCGAGGGUCGCUGCUGCCUGAUGGGCAAGCAGCGCGCUCCUGCUGAACAAAGCCCGCUGCAUGACUGCUACUGGUUCCUGAGAGGCCUGCUCCGAGUGACUGAGAAAA